rnacentral:lncRNA from 1 species
UAGUGCAUCGAUUUCUUGCAUUGUUCCUCAACCUCUCCUCAGAUCACCUCUCUGGCUACAAGUGUGGUUUUCCAAUGCUCCUUUUUCUCCUGCAAAGCAUGGCGUUUAUACAGAACGGUCAGAUCCAGGGGUGGUUUGGAAAUCCCAACCGUCGCACAUGCCACAGAGACGCCAAGGGAUGUGUCCAGCCGAUCAAACUUAGUGCGGGCUGUUGUUAUUUCUCCCUUGUAUGAAGUAUAGGUCCCUGUAUAUUGUUGAAAGUAUGAAGGAAAAAGAAGCCGUGGGCCUCGCAUCAUUUUGCUGAUGAAGGAAGGGCGUUAGCUUCACAAUUCGUUAGGGAAGUCGAUGCUUACUAGCUUUAGUACAUCUAGUGGAAAUUUCCGCUACUUGUCAUCUUUUUAUCCAUGAUGAUGAAGAAUGAGUGUUGGCAGUUUAGAGGGGUGAAUAAUAACGAGAGCCUUGUCCUCUGGGUUCUUUUGUUCCUUUAGGAAUGGGAUGCAAAUUGGCUAGCGGUGUCCAAGUCGAACUGACCUCUCCCCCUUUGUUGUUACUUGUUAGUCAGCAGUUGAUUACUUGUGUUAUGUAGUGCUGAGAGCAAUUCAUGGAAUGAACAAAAACGCCGGGUGAAGCGCUUGUAAAAUGUUGUAGUCUUAUAUAAAUCCCUGCGAUGUUGAAAGCCCUAAUGGGUUCUUGUAAAUUUUAAUGUGCGAUUAUCACCGAGGCCGGUUUAUCAUUUUCUGAAGCAGAAGUUGGCGUGGCAAGGAUGUCUGCAGCUACUAUUAGAUGUCUGAAGAGUGCUGCUGAUCCUAUUCGGCUUAGUUGCUGUACAUGUUUUGUAGUUUGGUUUUGGGAUGGGUUUUUGCUGAACCAGGAGUAGGUCGUUCGAAGAGUACCUCACCUAUCCUUUUCUUCUGUCCCUCAGGGGCCGGCGAUCAAUCUCCUUUUGAAAUGAAAUCAUAUUCAGGUGGGGAUUUCUAUCUCAUUUUUAAAAAAAGGGCAACGGGAAUACAAGACCUUUUUUUUGGAAAACGCUAAUGCUCUGCCGGUUGAUGGCGCGGAGAGUUCCGCCACCCGCACGAACGUUGGAUCGACCUUGAUCCACACGUCCUUAAGCACACUCACACACGUUUACCUUAUCUCGCAACAACAACAGUGUUGCAAACAAACUUAGACAAGUUUUUGCAACAUCAGCUUUGUUGCAGAAAAAAAAACCACAACAAAACCUUUGUUGCAAGAAAUAUCUACGACCAGAACUUUGUUGUGAAAAAAAUCGCAACCUAUAUAGCAGAAAAAGUCCCGCAACAUAAUUUAUGUUGCAAAAAAAACGCAACACAAUUUCUGUUGUAAAUGUUUCUGCAACAAGACAUCUGUUACGAAGUGGAGGAAUACGUUCAACCGCCAGAUUGUGCUGCAUCUAACGACCCGCGAAGCGGCGGAUCUUUUAAAAUGAUCCGUUGGCCGACGCGUAGCGAUCCCUUUUUUUUUUUGGGUACAAGAUCUUGAUAUAAUGCACUGAGAAAGUAACUAAAGCAAUUGCAAGUCUGGAACUAACUAUAGAAGGAACAAAAGAUCUAACCUGUCUACUUGACACAUCUGAACCAACUUCAUUCCUGGCUAAAACGUUGAGCCGUAUUCCUGAAAUAAUCAUCUAGUGACAAUCCACCACCACAAAGCCACAAACGCAAGUCCGAAUUUGUGAACCUAGUACAUCUCAGCGGUUCAUUUUAUUUAUUUAUUUUAUUUUCUUUUUCGAAAAUGUCCCCCCUCCACUCACCCAAGUCACGCGAAUUGCAACUCGAACAAACAAAAAAUGGAUGAAGGAGAUGAAGAACAAGGGUCUUCGGAGUUGCGUUUUGAACUGAAUGCGUGACAGACUCAGACGGAUUGCUCGUUCCCGCUGCGUUGCGAACUCGGAGGCGUGAGCGACCGCCGCGUUGCGUCGACGCCAAGCUCGGCAUUUCGAAUCCGACUCCGGACGAACUCGAGGCGUGGCCGCCACGCGAUCACGGCGAUAUUAAUUAUGCCCCCACCCCGGCUGAUUCGAUCGCAGUCUUCCUCCACCUCCGCCUCUCUCCACAUCGUACGUACGCGGACGCGCUCUAGUUGUAGAUCCCGCCGGCCAACUCCAGACGGCGACCAUGGCGCUCGCAUCCGGGUUCUGCCCGCCGCCGUCGUACACCCCGGGUGCGUCCCAGCGCGGCCCCUUCUUCCUGGGCUUCGACUUUGGCGGCGAGUGCUGCGCCCCGUCCUUUGCCGGCUACUACGACUACGAGGAGUACGCCCCAUCGAGCCCUGACUACACUCCGGCGAGCCCGGACUACGCUCCCGCGAGCCCUGACUACACUCCGGCGAGCCCGGACUACACUCCGGCGAGCCCCGACUACACUCCGGCGAGCCCUUCGCCGUCGCUGGAGUACACAUCGUCGAGCCCUGUUCGGCUCGCUUUCAUGAUGCCGUCUCCUCCGCGCGGCGCGUCCCCAGACUACACGCCCCUGACGCCGUCAGAGCACGCUGCCUCAUCACCUUACUAUACUCCGUUGAGUCCUCCCGGUCCCGGGCACGCUUCUUCGCCGGAUUACACGCCCAGUACACCGCCUCCGUCCCCCCUGGUGGUGUCUGACGCCGAGUCGUGCGCGUCGCCAUAUUACACAACGUCAGCUCCUUCCAGGCGCGCCGAGUCGCCGGACUACAUGCCCAGCACGCCGCCUCCAUCGCCCCUGGCGUCAGAAGCAGAGUCCUUCACGUCUACAGCGCGCUGCCGCCACCAUCCGUACCAGAGGAGCGGCACUGGCCGGAUCAGCCGCGGUGGACGUCGGCGAUCAUUGGGAUAUUGACAUCUCGUAAAUUGUAAUAGGAGCAAAACAGAUUGGAUUCUCUUUGUGUAAAUCUCGAAUUGCUAUGACUUUGUUUGUUCCUUGGGCAAAUCUUGUAUUACUCACGAAUCGAUGAAUAUAUCUCUAUGGAGCUUUUGUUGAAUAUAUAUGCGAGAUUGUUCUCUGUUAUUGCUUCUCGUUUUUUUAAUGCCGAAGCAUAUUGUUGCUGUUGCUCUGUAAAACUGAAGAUUGCCGUCUGAAUGUUGAGCUUGAUGAAACAGAGCCUGUCACCUGGAAGCAGUCUACUGCUCACUCAGAUAGCUGUUUUUCUAUGGCCCCGACAAGGUCCAAGUCGAACUGACCUCCCCCUUUGUUGUUACUUGUUAGUGAUCAGCAGUUGAUUACUUGUGUUAUGUAGUGCUG